AGGGUGGUUUGGGAUCCCACCGGCACGCCCCAGGCGUGUCCGGGUCCUGUGCACCCCGCGGGGGGGUCCCCAAGGGGGGGUUUAAGCGCUGCGCCCCCGAUUUCCCCGCUCUGAGGAUGCUGGCGGGGCUGGGGGCAAGACCCCUGCGAAGCAGAAACAGCACCGACCUCCCCCUCUGUGGGGUUUUAAUGCACCCCCCGGGCCCUUUUCACGAGUGGGGGCACUGGAGGGACCCCAUGGGGAUGGGGUUUUGGGGUCGGCACCUUCCCAGGGUGGGCGCUUCGGGGGUUUGUGCCCUGAUGAGUUUCGGGUCCUGGUUUGGGCCCCUUGGGUUGUGGGGCAGAAGGUUGGGAUUUUGGGGCACACUAUGGGGCACACGAGCUCCUGCUGUGAGUUUUGCAGGGGCGAAAACCCCCCAAAAAACAGGCGGGGAAGAGGGAAAUGAAAUCCCCUACCGCCGAUUUCUCCGCAGAUCACAGAGGGAUCCUAGAAAACCGCCUUGCACCCAGGCCAGGGCCGGCCGGGAGAGGGGGAUUUUGGCCGGAGGACUCACUCUUGGGACUGAUUUAGGUUUAAGCAGCAGAUUCCCCAGGCUGAACCCCUCGGCCGGGCUGAAUUUAGCAGCAGAGAUAACCGGGAGAUAAGGGCUGAUACCCGGCGGGACAGCGGGAGCCGAGGGAAGGGGGAGAAGCCGGAGGCAGAGCCCCGUGGCGCGUUGGGAGCGGCAGCUGCGGAUCCAGAUGUGCCGCCAUCCCAAGGGACGCGCAUCUCCCUGCAAAACCCACCGGAUUUAUUUUUUUUUAGGGGAAACUUCGUUGAUUUUUUACGGAAUCUCGUCCCUUUAUUUAAAAAAAAUAAUAACAAUAAUGAUAAGAGGGAGAAAAUUUUCAAUUAAAAGCUCUUAAAGCCUCCGGAGCAGCCCUGCCGGGAGCAGAGAGGUUUCAGGGACCUGCCUUGGCUUCGCCCCAAAAGCGCUGAGCUCAGCCCCGGCAGGAUGGAUCUAUGGGGAAGGGACGGACCCGUUCCUUUUUUAACCUUUUUUUUGACAAGAAAACGAAAAAAAUAUAUAUAAAAAAAUAAAAGCAGAGGUCGGGAU